UGCGUCGGAUAGCGAUUGGCAAAAUCGGCGAGUUGGACAAGCUCGAGCAGUUCGAGCGAACGGCGCUUGAUCUCGUUCGCGUCGGGGCGGACGCGGC
rnacentral:tRNA from 1 species